UAUGGUCGACCUGCAGGCGGCCGCGAAUUCACUAGUGAUUCGUAUUACCGCGGCUGCUGGCACAUAGUUAGCCGGUGCUUCUUAUUCCGGUACCGUCAUCCACACAGGGUAUUAACCCAUGCGUUUUCUUCCCGGCUGAAAGAGCUUUACAACCCGAAGGCCUUCUUCACUCACGCGGCAUGGCUGGAUCAGGCUUGCGCCCGUUGUCCAAAAUUCCCCACUGCUGCCUCCCGUAGGAGUCUGGACCGUGUCUCAGUUCCAGUGUGGCGGAUCAUCCUCUCAGACCCGCUACAGAUCGUCGCCUUGGUGAGCCUUUACCUCACCAACUAGCUAAUCUGAUAUCGGCCGCUCAAUCAGCGCAAGGUCUUGCGAUCCCCUGCUUUCCUGCUCACAGAAUAUGCGGUAUUAGCGUAACUUUCGCUACGUUAUCCCCCACUGAAAGGUACGUUCCGAUACAUUACUCACCCGUUCGCCACUCGCCACCAGGAUUGCUCCCGUGCUGCCGUUCGACUUGCAUGUGUAAGGCAUGCCGCCAGCGUUCAAUCUGAGCCAUGAUCAAACUCUAAUCGAAUUCCCGCGGCCGCCAUGGCGGCCGGGAGCAUGCGACGUCGGGCCC
rnacentral:rRNA from 1 species